UCGCCUCUCCCUCCGCGGCGUGAGCCACAGGUGCGGACAAAACGGUCCACUCACUCCCUCAUACCGGCACCAUCUGGACCGCUUUUCCCUCCUAGUCCCGGAGACAGAAGCGAUUUUACACUUUUCGCCUCUCUCGCCGUGGACUCUUGUCUCGUGAGGUUUUCAAUCUGGCCCUCCAGAGAAGCGCCGGGGUGGAGAAUUUUCAAUCUUGGUGCUUGGCUGUCUGCACGGCGUUCUCAUGGCAUUACUUCUAGUUAGUUGC
rnacentral:lncRNA from 1 species